UGCCAGCCGCCGCGGUAAUACGGGGGAUGCAAGCGUUAUUCGGAAUCAUUGGGCGUAAAGGGCACGCAGGCGGUCUUGUCAGUCAGAUGUGAAAGCCCGGGGCUCAACCCCGGACGUGCAUUGGAAACUGGCGAACUUGAGUACGGGAGAGGAAAGUGGAAUUCCGAGUGUAGGGGUGAAAUCCGUAGAUAUUCGGAGGAACACCAGUGGCGAAGGCGGCUUUCUGGACCGAUACUGACGCUGAGACGCGAAAGCGUGGGGAGCAAACAGGAUUAGAUA
rnacentral:rRNA from 1 species